GGCUUCUCUCUCUACUCUAUCUCUUCGGCCCGUCUCUCUCCCUCGUGUACCUCUCUCUCUCCGACGCAAUUGUCUUUCUCCCUCAGCAGUGGCUGUUCAUCCUCUCCACCGUUGACAUCCAUGAGGCACUGUUCACAGAAAUCAAACUCUUCAUUUUGUCACAGAACGUUUGGGCUUCGUUCAGCUUUGUCUGGGUAAGUCCCAACUAUCUAUAUUGUUUGAUGAGAUUUUAAGCUCUGGGCUCUGUGAUUUCUACAAGAAUUAAUUCCACAAUAUUCUGAUUUUACUUGUUCAAAUCAAAGCAAAGGAAGGGACGUUGUUUAUGGAUGGGUAAUUGUCAAAAACGACUUCUGGAAUCUACAUGCUUAUAAUCAAAUUUUGCAGAUUGUCAAUGGUCCACAGUCCACAUUUGAGACUGAGAAUUUUGUAUGUUCUUGUUAGGCUGGUUUUGUUUUACCUCUUCAAUCAUUGUUAGCAUAUGGUUCUCUGGAACUUUUGAAUAAAUUGUUUAAUCAGAUGUCCAAACCGUUGGAAUUAAUAUCUUACUGUCGUAAUGCAUUUCAUUUUCAGGCAAUGUGCAAGGAUAGCCGCAUUGUUCCUGGAGCGGCAGCUACUGAAAUUGAGUUAGCUAAGAGAGUAAAGGAAUUCUCUUUUACAGAAACAUGAUUGGAUCAGUAUGCUAUAGCAAAAUUUGCCGAAAGCUUUGAGAUGGUGCCUAAAACGCUAGCUGAAAAUGCUGGGCUUAAUGCAAUGGAGAUCAUAUCUUCUCUAUAUGCUGAACAUGCAUCAGGAAAUACCAAAGUUGGCCUCGACUU